GGAUGUGAGGGCGAUCUGGCUGCGACAUCUGUCACCCCAUUGAUCGCCAGGGUUGAUUUGGCUGAUCUGGCUGGCGAGGCAGGUGUCCCCUUCCUCCCUCACCGCUCCAUGUGCAUCCCUCCUGAAGCUGCGCGCCCAGUCGAAGAGGACGACCUUUCCCAAACAGAGACGGACUGGUCUUCCGUCGAGGGUAUAUGAGUAGCUGCGCUCCCCUGCUAGAACCUCCAAACAAGCUCUCAAUAAUUCAGCAUUGUCACCUGAUAAUGAUCAGGAGCCACCACAACCACCUCCCCUGAGGACUGAGCAGGAUGCCCAACUUCCU
rnacentral:snRNA from 1 species